UACGUAGGGUGCAAGCGUUGUCCGGAAUUAUUGGGCGUAAAGAGCUCGUAGGCGGUUUGUCACGUCGGGCGUGAAAAUCCAGGGCUUAACCCUGGACCUGCGUUCGAUACGGGCAGACUAGAGUGCGGUAGGGGAGACUGGAAUUCCUGGUGUAGCGGUGAAAUGCGCAGAUAUCAGGAGGAACACCGGUGGCGAAGGCGGGUCUCUGGGCCGAUACUGACGCUGAGGAGCGAAAGCGUGGGGAGCGAACAGG
rnacentral:rRNA from 1 species